UACGGAGGGUGCAAGCGUUAUCCGGAUUUACUGGGUUUAAAGGGUGCGUAGGUGGGUAGGUAAGUCAGUGGUGAAAUCUCCGGGCUUAACUCGGAACGGUCAAGUGAUACUGUCGUGCUAGAGUACAGAAGGGGCAACUGGAAUUCUCGGGUGUAGCGGUGAAAUGCGUAGAUAUCAAGAGGAACACCUGCGGCGAAGGCGGGUUGCUGGGCCGACACUGACGCUGAGGCGCGAAAGCCAGGGGAGCGAACGGG
rnacentral:rRNA from 1 species